rnacentral:lncRNA from 1 species
ACAACGAAGAGAAAGAUAUAUUUAUCUUUUUCGGAGCAGCUCACCGAGACUACGAGCUACGUCCGAUUUUUUUCACAUCAUCAAAAUUCAAAUAUUAAAUUCUCUAGCAGAAUCUUAAGCCCAACGGUCUUACAAGGAUUCAAUCUGAGAAUUUUAGCGAAAUCCCUUUUAAUUGGGGUUCUCAGCUAAAUUAAUGUCUCUUUCUCCCAACCCUUUGAAGAGUGAAUAGGAGGGGUUUAUCUAGAACCCCAAAGUCCUAAACUUAUGAUGAAUUGGCAAUGUGGAAUAGAAAAAUUCAAGGAUGUUUUAGGAAAUUCAAUUGAGGGAUGAGUUGACAUUGUACCAUCUAGUACAAAUUUGAAUUUCAAACUGAAAAAAGAUGAUAAGGGUCGAAGCUGGACGGGUCGAGUCGCCGGGUUGAAAUCGUUAUUGAUUGAAAUUGUUGAAUGGUUGUUGUCUGUAGUCGUUGGUGUUGAAGUUGUUUGUCG